rnacentral:rRNA from 1 species
UACAGAGGGGGCAAGCGUUGUUCGGAAUUACUGGGCGUAAAGGGCGCGUAGGCGGCCUUCUAAGUCGAACGUGAAAUCCCCGGGCUCAACCCGGGAACUGCGUCCGAUACUGGAAGGCUUGAAUCCGGGAGAGGGAUGCGGAAUUCCAGGUGUAGCGGUGAAAUGCGUAGAUAUCUGGAGGAACACCGGUGGCGAAGGCGGCAUCCUGGACCGACAUUGACGCUGAGGCGCGAAAGCGUGGGGAGCAAACAGG